rnacentral:lncRNA from 1 species
GCUAAGUAUUUGCAUUUGUUUGGGCGUGUGUUUUUGAGACAGAGUCUCACUCAGAGGCUUUGGCUCUAAGAACAGGUUGGCCUUGCACUCAUAGUGAUCUACCUGACUCUGCUUCUCAAGAAUUAAAGCUGUGUGCCCAACAGCCAGCCCUGAAGCAAGUUUUACGCCUGAAACGAAGAACUCUCAUGAAACCUUUCUUCUUUUCCUUUCUGUUCGGAGACAGUUUUUUUUAUUACCCUCUGCUGCCAUCGUGGUCUUCCAGGAUUGAGGACAGUGCCCAGUCAUGAUCUCUAGGUUUUUGUUUGUUUGUUUGUUUGUUUCCUGUAAGGAUGAAGCUUUCAAAUCUCAUUCUAGCUUUGGGGAGAAGGUUUUUUUGGGGGGUUUUCGUGGGGUUUUUGGUUUGUUUGUUUGUUUCAGAAUGCAUCCUGAAUUGGAAAGUCUGACGCACAAUUCAUGGUAUUUUAUCAUUGUUUUUAUUAUGAAGAUGACACCGUUUUGUUUUUGUUCAUCGUAAGAUUUAUUGCUUGGACUCAGUGGUCCUUUCUGAGAACCAUUUUCCACUGUGUGGCCAAGGAUGUCCCUCUCAUGGCCUCUGUAAAGGUAUUCCUUGUCAUGUUUGGCGUUCUUUCUCAUUUGUGUUCAAGCUAUGGAUUUGCAACUAUGUAUUUACAAUCUGGAUCCCCAACAACCAGCUACAUAACUGACAGCCAGCUACCGCUGCACAGUCCAGUCUUGGAAACAAUACUCUAUAUCCAGAGAUAUUUGCUUUUCAAGUGAAGCAAACAACAAAUCCAACAAGAUCAUAGUGACUAACAUCCACUGAGCAUGUGCAAUGCCCAUUGGACACACUACUUAGCCACACACAGAAAUGGCUUGUGAUUAAUAUUUAUUUGUUUGUUUAUUUUUGCAGUAGAGUCUUGCUACGUAGCUUUGGCUGUAAGGACAACUUGGUCUUGAGCUCACAGUGACCAACCUGGCUCUGCUUCCCAAAUUCAGACAUUAAAGCUAUGUGCCUCCACUGCCACGGUAAAGCAAGUUUUUAACCCCUGAAAUUGAGAACUCUCAUGAACCCCGCUGUCUUUCUUCUUUCCCUUUAUUGGGGGGGAUUUUAGAAAUGUAUCCAUAUCUCAUAAACAAGCAGUCCUGAAUACAAUGCUGAUAGGGAACUUGAUCCAAGUUCAGUCGAAAGUGUGACAGGCCUGGGAUUCUCCUGCAGGAAGGCAGUGGGACGUCAGAGUUCUGAGUUCCACACGGAUCUUGGAUCUUGUGCACGCAGGGUUUGUGCAGGUUCAGUUUACUUUAGGCUCUCUUUCAAGCGUGUUUUCUUUUCUUCUUUCUUUCUUUCUUUCUUUCUUUCUUUCUUUCUUUCUUUCUUUCUUUCUUCCUUCCUUCCUUCCUUCCUUCUUUCCUUCUUUCUUUCUUUCUUUCUUUCUUUCUUUCUUUCUUUCUUUCUUUCUUGAUGGAAAGAUUAGGCACUUGAUCGACUCUCUGAUGGUGCUGUAUGAUAGGACGUACAAGCAUCAGACUGCUGGGUGUUCCAGUCUACGAGGUCCUGCUGUACAGACACCCUUUGAUAAACCAGCAAUCCAAGGCACAAAUGAAAUACAAGGACAAGAGUUCUGAGGUCUGCCUUCAGAACCAGGAGCAAUCGCCACUUCCCAUUGUUGGUGACCUCUGUGAAGGGUGGAAGGUAACGAGACUCACACAUACGUACAUCCACAUAUUGCUAGUUCCUGCAUAGUCUAUACGCAGAUAAAGACUUGAGAAAUUGGUCGUCCUUUGGUUUCGGACCCUGGGACAAGGAGUCGAGGUACAUAUUUUACACAAUGGAGCAGACCUGGUCUCCAGGGUCUCCCAGAGUCCCUCAGUCCCUUCCUGGCACACCUUGACCCCAACCUUGAACUUUUUAACCCAGGGGCUGGGCUGCCCUUCCCUCUGAGGUUUCUCCCUAUAUAAUCCAGACUGCCCCCUCACCCCCUCUGUGUGUCUGUGCACGAGCACACAUGUUCAAACUGGUUUUCAAGUGUAACACGUUUCCCAAAUGACACUGAGGAUUUACGUUGUGUGUAGAUCCCUGCAAUGCCAGUUUAUACAUAGGAAUGGAGAAUGGACAAGCUGGGCUGUAAGUUCCCUGGGAAGUGACUAGGGAGGACAGGGCUGCCAGGAUCAGCAGACACUGCCACAGAAAGCUGAACUUGGGUGACUCCUCUGUCACUGCCCUGUCCUUUCCCCUGUGACUUUGGCUAACACUCCCUCUUUCAGGCCUUUAAAAAGACAUUGACUAUUGCUUGUCUGCAUAAAGAAAAAGUAUUGCCUGGUCAGGCAGGGAAGACCAACUGGUGUGUGUCUUUAGUACUG